CUUGCACAGGGCAUGUUUCUAGCGGGCGGUCGGGGGGCGUACGCGGGCGCAGCGCUGCAGGGACCUCUCGCUUACUUGGAGAAGACCGCUACCAAUAUAGACAUGGUGGGUUUGGGCGACGGGCGAAGGUGACGCGGCCGCGGGCGGGGCAGGGGCCGCGGUCGGGGCAGAGGCCGAGGUCGUGGCGCGUCCCCUGAAUAUGGGGGCAGCAUGACGCCCCCAUAGCGCCAACCUCUCCCGGCGACAGCGCGUGCGACCUACGACCCUACAGACCAGGUCGACUACUCGCAAUACUUCCUAGAACUAGACCAAAGUCUGCAGUACCAGAGGGCCCAUAGUACUGACCCUUGCGAGUGCGACCUAGGCCUAGCCAGUACUAGUACGAGUACUGGAACGCACGGCUGCUCGUCACAGUGGAGAUAAAAUGCAA